UACAGAGGGUGCGAGCGUUAAUCGGAAUUACUGGGCGUAAAGGGCUCGUAGGCGGCCAACUAAGUCGGAUGUGAAAUCCCCAGGCUUAACUUGGGAACUGCAUCCGAUACUGGAUGGCUUGAAUCCGGGAGAGGGAUGCGGAAUUCCAGGUGUAGCGGUGAAAUGCGUAGAUAUCAGGAGGAACACCGGUGGCGAAGGCGGAUCUCUGGGCCAUUACUGACGCUGAGGAGCGAAAGCGUGGGGAGCGAACAGG
rnacentral:rRNA from 1 species